CGGGAAUUGUGACCGCCACAGAGCAGGGGCGUACAGACUUUUGACUGGUGUUAUGUGCCUACAGUUCAAUUCAUAGCACUUUAUUUGUCCUACACACGACGUUCAUAUUCUUAUGUUGCUAUUCUAUUCCUGUCUUUCUGCUCUAAUAGUAUUUAAAAUAUCUUUGUUUUUCUCUCUGGCGUCCUGCAGGCUGCUUGGUGUCAUACUGCCCCCUUGCGGCGGCCAGAGGAACAACUCGUCUUAGAGUAACGGGCCUUUCAGACCCCUCCAGCUGCGUGCCGGCGGCCGGUGUCCGGGUCGGGAGGGGACAGCGAGGAGCCGAACAUGGACGCGAACCCCGCCGCGUCCCUGUCGCGUCUGUACCGGCGGGACCCGGUGUUCGCGCGCUGCGCGCCGGACCUGAUGCGCGCCUCCGCCGCGGCGAACAAGGACUUCGUCCGGGAGCAGAAGCAGCUCGCAAAGACGCUGAAGAGGCUGGAGCAGCAGCGCCUGACCCGCCUGCGGCAGCUGGACGAGGCCCAGAGGCAGUUCGCCUUCGUCAUGAGGAAGAAACUGCAGCCCAGAGACAUCCGGAUACCAACCACCGAACCCGCCGGGCCUCCUCCGCAGAUGGGGACCCUGACGGCAGAGACCCGUGGAACCGGUGGCGAGUCCGGGCCAAGCAAAACGCCCUGUGGGGUGGAGAGCACGCCACUGCCCCGCCGUGUGGCAGAACCCAGGUCGACCUCAGUGUGACCCUGGUCUGACCAGGCAGGCCAUUUCUCUAAUCCUUCCGGAGAACGACCAUGUGAACUGGUGAAGUAGAGAAGAAGAGGAGAAGAACAACAACAACAACCCUGUGAACUGAAGAGAAAGAAAGUGAAGUGAUUGUCAUGGUGAGAUACUGCAGCGCAGCACACGGUGACACAGUGAAACGUGUCCUCUGUAUUUAACCGUCACCCUUGGUGAGCAGUGGGCGGCCAUGACCGGUACCUUGAUCAAUUGGACCUCAGUGGCACCUCUGCGGUUCGGGAUUCGAACCAGCAAACCUUCCAAUUACAGUCUGUUUACUUACCUGCUAGUCCAACACCUGCCCCACCCUGCGCAGGAACACCGAGAACAACACAGAGAAGAAGAGGACGACGCUGCCCUCAUGCCCCAUUCGGCCGGAUCCUGGAAGAUCUCUGCAUUUUGGUAUUAUUCGUGUUUGCGCAUGCAUUCGCCAAUAUCAACGUCUGUACACUCCCUUAGCCUGUGUGUUUUUGUUAAGACCUUUGCUUAAUCUCCUAUUCUUGAUGAUGAGAAUGAAUAUUUUCAUGGCGUUUUAUCCAUAAUCAUCUCCUUUGGAUCAUAAGAAACUGUUUUGCGUAGCGUGACCUAGUGAAACAGGACCUCCAUUUAACCGCAGACAGAUGCUCAAAAAGCGGGGAACAUGUGGACUGGCGUGUGGUUUAUUCUUUCUUUUAUUGUGGAAGAAGGCAGUAAAUGUCUGAUUAAAAAAUAUUUUGAUAAAUAUUUUUUGACUUUUUAUGCGUUUUAAUUAUUAUUUUUUUUAGCUUCAUUGAGUGUUCCUCUUUUAUAAUAAAAUUUGUCACCUUGUUCA
rnacentral:lncRNA from 1 species